CCCGCAGCCACCUUCCCACGCAGCCCGCUCCUCCUGCCAGCACCGCGGCCGCCCGUGGGAGCAGCGUCCCCGCAGGUCCACAGCUGGGAGCUCCCCCGACCCUCCUCGCCUCUCUUCGCCCCUUCCCAUACCACCGUCAACCAGGAAAAAGAUGAUGCUGGAAGCGGUACCCUCUCAAUGAUUCCACCAUUCUAUGAAAUCAAGGUUGGAAGGGACCUCCAAGGUCACCCCGUCCAACAGUCAGCCCAUACCACCGUUUCCACAAGGGCCUGGCACAACAGGGCACCAAACACCACAGCUGUUCCUCGUGUUUUUCAUCCAUAGAUCCCUGUAACUUCCCUGUUACUUCUCGAGACAGGCUUUCCAAAAGGAAAUUUGCUGGUGGUGUCUCGGUGUCUCUCACACUUCUCUCCCACAGAGUCAUUGAAUAUCCCAAGUUGGAAGGAACCCACGAGGAUCGCUGAGUCCAACGCUGCAUCACCCCAUUUAGACAUAUAACAAAUCCAACACAGAAAAUCACAGAUAAUCCCACAGCAAGCACUGAGGCUCCAGGAAAUGAGAGAAGAGCAGAAGAGAUGUUAUAUACUGUUAUACACUCCAAUCUUGCUCUCUACUAAUGGCACAGAAACAGAAGAGCAGUGUUAGGAACCUAUGCUGUACCAGAACCCAUAAAACUUCGGCAUCAGCAUUCCUGGGCUGGUGGUGGUUCUGUCCACUGGUUCUCUCUGCUGUUAAAUCUGAGGAAAUGAUUUAGAAACAGAAACGUGUCCCACGUUCUGCUGGGACAGACCUUAUGCUGUGUUGCCAUUACAAACCUACAUCUUCAAAGAGAUUUCAGUCUGUUCCUCUCUAUGAGAACGCACAUCAUCUCAGCCUGGAGUCUUGAUUCACCCUUCUCUGGCCUGGAGUGACAUGUAGGCCCAUCAGAGCCCAUCGGCCUCCUGGUGACCUCAUUCCUGCUCCCCCUGAUUGCAAAUUCUCCUUCAGGGCCACAAACAACUCCGUGAUCCCUCAAGACCUGCCAGCUCCUGCCACCGCCCCUAUGGAUCAGUCCCCAGCAGACCAGGGCCUGCUGCAUGUCAGCUCACAGCCUUCACCUGGGGAGGAGGAGGCCCUCUCUAAGAACCGCACUGCCUGGAGCACAGUCCUCAGCACAUCUCUGCCCAGCAGCAGCUCAAGGCCAUGGAGCUGCUCUCCUGCCGCCAGAGCCUUCCGCUGACUUUUCUCCCACUGAGUUUAUCGAGCUCAGAGGUUUCUCUCCAAAGCCUCAGGCUUUCCUACAGGCAUCUGCACGAAAAUACCAAGCUCUUUUCAGAGAAAACAAGUUUCCAAAUCAGCUUUUUCUUUUACGUGCUUUUUGUGGAAGGACUUUCCUAAGCACGGAGGAUUUCUCCUUAUGCAAUUCAGAGAGAUUCACUAGGCCAGCUGAAAACCUAGAGCAGUGCUAGGAAGAUAAACUAUGCCUAGAGAUAUCCAUAUGCAUUUAUUUCUGAAAACUUGCUAUCUAGAUGGCUACACAACACUUUGCCAAAACAUUCGGUUGGGUGGCCUUGUUGGGAAAGAGGAUGUAAUGGUCAAAUUCUCCUCCACAUAGAUUCACAAAAUCAUUAGAAUCAGAAGGGACCUUUAAAGGCCACCCAGUCCAACUCCCCUGCAAUGAACAGAGACACCCACAGCUCCAUCAGGUGCUCAGAGCCCCGUCCAGCCUGACCUUGGCUGUCACCAGGGAUGGGGCACCCACCACCUCUAUAAGUAACCUGUGCCAGUGCUUCUCUACCCUUACUGUAAAAAGAAACAUCUUAGAUCCACAGUCUAAAUCUCCCUUCUUUUAGUUUGAACAAAGGAUGCAGAAGAACUGGAACAGUGAGACAAGGUAGCAGAAGAGUCUAGCAGGAACCAAAGGGAAUAGGACCCUAAAGAAAAAUGACAGAAUACAAAAGUUGAGGAUUUUUUGAAGGAGAAAAGAAGAGAAAAAGAAAACAAGAUGAAAAUGAGGUAAGAAUGAGAAGUGGGAAGAAGACAAGGGGAGUAGUAUAAGAAAAGGCAGAUUAGGCAAGAAUAAAUGCACUGAUGGUAUGCUUCCAUUUUAUGUUUUAGUUACACUUCCUGGAGUGAAGGUGAGAGGUAAGGAGAGGAUGGGGCCAUGGUGCUCUCAGGGCUGUGGUGAGAUACAUUCCCAUGACCCAUACAUCUCUGUGAAAAGGGGGAGAGCCCUCAAGCACUUCUAUUUCUCCAGUUGAACCUCAGGAGAGCAUGGUUUACAACCACUAAAAGGGAAUGAGAAGAAAGCUGCAGCCUUCCAGGAAGCUGGUAGGAGCUCAGCUAUGCACGAUCCCUGGGGCUCUGCUCUGGUGUUAUCUAUUUGCUUGAGGCCAACAUCAUCUUCCUUCAGAGCUUUUCCACAGAGCUUAAAGCAAAGGCACCAG
ensembl:lncRNA